UGCCCUAGUAACGGCGAGUGAAGCGGCAACAGCUCAAAUUUGAAAUCUGGCUACAUCCCGUAGUCCGAGUUGUAAUUUGUAGAGGAUGCUUUUGGUGAGGUGCCUUCCGAGUUCCCUGGAACGGGACGCCAUAGAGGGUGAGAGCCCCGUACGGUUGGAUACCAAACCUCUGUAUAGCUCCUUCAACGAGUCGAGUAGUUUGGGAAUGCUGCUCUAAAUGGGAGGUAUAUCUCUUCUAAAGCUAAAUAUAGGCUAGAGACCGAUAGCGCACAAGUAGAGUGAUCGAAAGAUGAAAAGCACUUUGAAAAGAGAGUUAAACAGCACGUGAAAUUGUUGAAAGGGAAGCGCCUAUGACCAGACUUGUUUCUGGCAGUUUCGUUAGCCCUCGGGCUGAUUUACUCUGUCCAGUACAGGCCAGCAUCAGUUUGCUGUCGGGGAGAAAGGCUCUGGGAACGUAGCUCCCCCCUUCUGGGGGGGAGUGUUAUAGCCCUCUGCAUAAUACCCUUUGGCAGACUGAGGACCGCGCUUCGGCAAGGAUGCUGGCGUAAUGGUCAUCAGCGACCCGUCUUGAAACACGGACCAAGGAGUCAACCUUAUGUGCGAGUGUUUGGGUGUAAAACCCCAGCGCGUAAUGAAAGUGAACGUAGGUGAGAGCUUCGGCGCAUCAUCGACCGAUUCUGAUGUUUUCGGAUGGAUUUGAGUAAGAGCACACAGGGUUGGACCCGAAAGAAGGUGAACUAUGCUUGUAUAGGGUGAAGCCAGAGGAAACUCUGGUGGAGGCUCGCAGCGGUUCUGACGUGCAAAUCGAUCGUCAAAUAUGAGCAUGGGGGCGAAAG
rnacentral:rRNA from 1 species